GCAUAAUUUGCCAAAAAAAGGAGAAGUUCGUCAACCGAGCAGGCAAACGACAAAGGGAUACUCUGUCAAAGGCUGAAACAUUAACAGCAGGCCAAUAGCAGAAAGCUGCCGAGUUGAAGGAGGACCAAAGUAUUCUUUUGCAUAUAAAAGACAAAGACUGUGUGGCUCUGGAGGUGCAGUGCCACAAAGGCUGUUAUAAUCAGUACACCAGGUUUUUGACGAGGCCUGAAAAACCAGAGAAAGACCAGGAGGAGUCAACACGACCGUUCGCCAUGGAGGCAUCUACGUCAAAGCUGUCAUCCCCAGAGGAGCAGCUGAGCU